CUGGGAAUCAAUAUGUGAGGUGGUGCUUUUUAGCAGGAACCCCUCUCGCUUUGCUAAUAGUUUUUUGUUGGUGUUUGUUUUCCUUUUUGCCCAAUAGAACCCUGCUCUACUCACCCUUCAGUGUGCCCAUGUGCCUAAAUGUUCCUGGUCAUGUGAAAAGGACCCAAGUAUUAGUUGAACUAUUUUGGCACCCAAACAAGGGGCUUGAGAAAUGAAUGCAAUUGGAGCAACUGGUUAUUUUGCCAGGCUUUGAUUGGAAAUGUGUGCUCUUUAAGGAGUCAAGCUCAACUUGCAGAGCUGAUGAGAACUCCUUGGGAAAACUGGCCUCAAAUGCUUGUCUACACAGUCCACAUACAGGAUUCUUAACCUGCAAUGAGGGAAACUUCCCAGGGCUUGUCUGGGCAUGCCCACAGCGGACUGGAGCCCAACACUCACUGGAGGAAGUGAGUGGCCAUGGGGAAGUCAUGCCUUAUGCAGGGGAGGAGCCUGCUCUCUUGAGCUCCUGUGGUAACCCGGGAAUAAAUCUGUGAGCAUAUUUAACUAUCAGGCUAUUUUGGAGAUUGCAAAAAGAAGACCUGAUUCAUCAUAUGCAAUACCUCACACAUCUGUCAUUUCUAUUCUACUGCAAUUUGAUUGAGUCUCACUCCGUAGCCCAGGCUGUAGUGCAGUGGCGCGAGAUCUCAGCUCACUGCAAGCUUCAUCUCCCGGGUUUACACCAUUCUCCUGCCUCAGCCUCCCGAGUAACUGGGACUACAGACACCCGCCACCAUGUGUGGCUAAUUUUUUUGUAUUUUUAGUAAAGACUGGGGUUCCCCAUGUUAGCCAGUAUGGUCUCGAUCUCCUGACCUCGUGAUCUGCCCGUCUUGGACUCCCAAAGUGCUGGGAUUGCGGGCGUGAGCCACUUUGCCUGGCCAGCAUACUCUCUUAUUCAUAGAUUUUGAAUUUAGGCCUACAUGAAUAAUAAUAUAUUUACUAUGAUGUUACUAUCAAUCAACCUUAUUUUUCUUUUCUAUGAAAUAGGAGCCAAAAUAAUAUUUAUUUCAUAUCUUAUGAAGUUAAAAGAAAAUAUAACUAAUAAGGGGCUUAA